ensembl:lncRNA
CUUAAAAGGUAAUGGUUGAAAACAAAAAAAUGUUAUCACCUAUUUUCUUCAGGGUAAAGAUGCCCAUACAUCUUUAUGGGCAUUCAAGAUUCUUCAUACAUCUGUGAAAUGUGGAAAAGGCUGCAAAAACCUGAACAUUUACUGAUAUGUCUUAACUUGCAUGUUUGCACUGUUUCAGAAAGCCAGAGGUUAGGUACAGUCAGAAUUUCAAAAUUAAAACACAGAACCAACUAGUUUUUGUGGAUUGUGUUCCUUUUACUUUUCUAUAUAUAGGAACAGCUUCCCAAUAGUACAAUCUUAAUGUAGUUGUAACAGAUUAAUUCCCCCUUUAACAAAAACAAAACCACAGAAAUACAGGUUGCUUCAGUAUCACACAAGUAGUUUUAUAAGUUGUAUAAUUUCAAACACAUGUAUUUAUUUCUCUACUUUUAACCGUGUUGUUUAUAUUCAAGAUGUUAUUACUGUAUACAGUGUUUUCCUGUGGUCAUGUAUGGAUGUGAGAGUUGGACUGUGAAGAAGGCUGAGUGCUGAAGAAUUGAUGCUUUUGAACUGUGGUGUUGGAGAAGACUCUUGAGAGUCCCUUGGACUGCAAGGAGAUCCAACCAAUUCAUUCUGAAGAUGAGCCCUGGGAUUUCUUUGAAAGGAAUGAUGCUAAAGCUGAAACUCAGGCAAAGAGUUGACUCAUUGGCAAAGACUCUGAUGCUGGGAGGGAUUGGGGGCAGGAGAAGGGGACGACAGAGGAUGAGAUGGCUGGAUGGCAUCACUGACUUGAUGGACGUGAAUCUGAGUGAACUCUGGGAGUUGGUGGUGGACAGGGAGGCCUGGCGUGCUGCAAUUCAUGGGGUCGCAGAGUCGGACACAACUAAGCGAGUGAACUGAACUGAAUAUCUUUGUAAGUAUAACAUUUGCAUUUUUUACAUUUCCUCCAUAUAAACAUUUCCAGCGUUUUGUCACUGGUUCCUUUGAUGAGAAGUUACUCGGAAGCUCCACAUCCUAUAACGCAAUUUCAGAAAAGCUCCGCGGAUGGGGAUUUUGGCACGUUCCUAGUUGCAGCCCCAGCGCCUGCAACAGUGCUCGGCGACCUGUGCUGUCCUUGGUCGCUCAAUC